rnacentral:misc_RNA from 1 species
GAUGAAGAACGCAGCGAAAUGCGAUAAGUAGUGUGAAUUGCAGAAUUCAGUGAAUCAUCGAAUCUUUGAACGCACAUUGCGCCCCUUGGUAUCCCGAGGGGCAUGCCUGUUCGAGCGUCAUUUCACCACUCAAGCCUGGCUUGGUGUUGGGCGACGUCCUCUUUGGGGACGCGCCUCGAAACGCUCGGCGGCGUGGCACCGGCUUUAAGCGUAGCAGAAUCUUUCGCUUUGGAAGUCGGGGCCCCGUCUGCCGGAAGACCUGCUCGCAAGGUUGACCUCGGAUCAGGCAGGGAUACCCGCUGAACUUAAGCAUAUCAAUAAGCGAGGA